rnacentral:rRNA from 1 species
UAGGGAAUCUUCGGCAAUGGGGGCAACCCUGACCGAGCAACGCCGCGUGAGUGAAGAAGGUUUUCGGAUCGUAAAGCUCUGUUGUAAGAGAAGAACGUGUGUGAGAGUGGAAAGUUCACACAGUGACGGUAACUUACCAGAAAGGGACGGCUAACUACGUGCCAGCAGCCGCGGUAAUACGUAGGUCCCGAGCGUUGUCCGGAUUUAUUGGGCGUAAAGCGAGCGCAGGCGGUUUAAUAAGUCUGAAGUUAAAGGCAGUGGCUUAACCAUUGUUCGCUUUGGAAACUGUUAAACUUGAGUGCAGAAGGGGAGAGUGGAAUUCCAUGUGUAGCGGUGAAAUGCGUAGAUAUAUGGAGGAACACCGGUGGCGAAAGCGGCUCUCUGGUCUGUAACUGACGCUGAGGCUCGAUAGCGUGGGGAGCAAACAGG